rnacentral:rRNA from 1 species
GACGAACGCUGGCGGCGUGCUUAACACAUGCAAGUCGAACGGAAAGGCCCUGCUUGCAGGGUACUCGAGUGGCGAACGGGUGAGUAACACGUGGGUGAUCUGCCCUGCACUUCGGGAUAAGCCUGGGAAACUGGGUCUAAUACCGGAUAGGAGCCAUUUUUAGUGUGAUGGUUGGAAAGUUUUUUCGGUGUAGGAUGAGCUCGCGGCCUAUCAGCUUGUUGGUGGGGUAAUGGCCUACCAAGGCGGCGACGGGUAGCCGGCCUGAGAGGGUGGACGGCCACAUUGGGACUGAGAUACGGCCCAGACUCCUACGGGAGGCAGCAGUGGGGAAUAUUGCACAAUGGGCGCAAGCCUGAUGCAGCGACGCCGCGUGGGGGAUGACGGCCUUCGGGUUGUAAACUCCUAUCGCUAGGGACGAAGCUUUUUGUGACGGUACCUAGAUAAGAAGCACCGGCUAACUACGUG